UCAAAGAUAAGAUUUGAUAAGAGUACAGCGUCAUAUACAGUUCAGUUCUUUCAGAAUGAAGUUCGCUUGUUCAAGUUGGAUACUUUUUCUAUUCAUAAUUGGGAAUUCGCAGCUUCCCAUUGAAGCCAAGAAAGUAGAAUCCUCCAAAAACAAUCUGGAGAUCACAAAUGGUGACGUGGCAGAACCUAAUUCAUUUCCUUACGUGGU